rnacentral:rRNA from 1 species
UACGAAGGGGGCUAGCGUUGUUCGGAAUGACUGGGCGUAAAGGGUGUGUAGGCGGUUAUAAACGUCAGAUGUGAAAUCCCCGGGCUUAACCUGGGAAUGGCAUUUGAUACGGUAUAGCUAGAGAUUGGUAGAGGGUAGAGGAAUUGCGAGUGUAGAGGUGAAAUUCGUAGAGAUUCGCAGGAACACCGGUGGCGAAGGCGGCUACCUGGGCCAAUACUGACGCUGAGGCACGAGAGCGUGGGGAGCAAACAGG